rnacentral:rRNA from 1 species
UACGUAGGGUGCAAGCGUUGUCCGGAAUCAUUGGGCGUAAAGCGCGCGUAGGCGGCCCGAUAAGUCCGCUGUGAAAGUCGAGGGCUCAACCCUCGAAUGCCGGUGGAUACUGUCGGGCUAGAGUACGGAAGAGGCGAGUGGAAUUCCUGGUGUAGCGGUGAAAUGCGCAGAUAUCAGGAGGAACACCAAUUGCGAAGGCAGCUCGCUGGGACGUUACUGACGCUGAGACGCGAAAGCGUGGGAAGCAAACAGG